CAAAAGGUAGUUUAAUUAAAAUACCGGCUUUGGGGGCAGGAGUUGUGAGGUAAAUCUUACCUUUUUGA
rnacentral:tRNA from 1 species